rnacentral:rRNA from 1 species
UACGGGGGGGGGCAAGCGUUUGUUCGGAAUUACUGGGCGUAAAGGGCUCGUAGGCGGCCAACUAAGUCGGAUGUGAAAUCCCCAGGCUCAACCUGGGAACUGCAUCCGAUACUGGAUGGCUUGAAUCCGGGAGAGGGAUGCAGAAUUCCAGGUGUAGCGGUGAAAAUGCGUAGAUAUCGUAAGGAAGACCAGUGGCGAAGGCGGGUCUCUGGACAGUUCCUGACGCUGAGGGCACGAAGGUCAGGGGAGCAAACGGG